UCUAUCUCUCCUUACCCUUCUUGUUCUUCUUCUACAGUCGGCUUCUUCCCCACAAACCCUCAGAUUCCAGACCGCAGCUUCUCUUCGAUUUCCAAACUUAGUAGAAAAAGAUGGAUUCCGAUCAAGGGAAGCUUUUUAUUGGUGGGAUUUCAUGGGAAACAAGUGAGGAGAAGCUGAAGGAUCAUUUUGAGCUCUAUGGAGAGGUUCUUCAGACUGUUGUUAUGAAGGAUAAGGCCACUGGAAGACCCAGAGGAUUUGGAUUCGUCGUCUUUGCAGAUCCUUCCACUCUUGAUAGAGUUCUUAUCGAUUCACAUACGAUAGAUGGUAGAACGGUUGAUGUAAAGAAGGCUAUGUCAAGAGAGGAACAACAAACAUCCUCAAGGCCAGGAAGCACGAAUGUUGGUAGAAGUUUUGGGGGUGGUGGUGGUGGAAACUACAAGACCAAGAAAAUAUUCGUGGGAGGUUUGCCUCCAACACUGUCGGAGGAAGGAUUCCGUCAGUAUUUUGAAACAUUCGGGCCUGUAAGCGAUGUGGUCAUUAUGUAUGAUCAGCAAACUCAAAGGCCUCGUGGGUUUGGAUUUAUUGUGUUUGAAAAUGAAGAUGCUGUUGAUAGAGUGGUAGUGAAGAACUUUCAUGAUUUACUAGGUAAGAUGGUUGAAGUGAAGCGGGCUAUGCCUAAGGAUGCCAACCCCGGUGGUGGUGUACGUUCGAUGGGUGGUGCUGGUGGAGGUUAUGGAGGAAAUUCGGGUGGUUCUUAUGAUGGGAGAAAGUCUCAAGAUAAUGGAGGAGGCGGUUAUCCUUCGUAUGGUUCUGGGUAUAAUGCACCAGCUAGUUAUGGAUACGGUGGUGGGGAGAACUAUGGUGUUUACGGUGGUUAUGGUGGUUCAAACCCUGGUUAUGGUGGUCAAGCUGGCGCUGGUUAUGGAAACCCUAAUGCAACUGGUGCAGGUUAUGGAAGCGGUCAACAAGGGUCUUGGAAUGGCCAAGCUGCUUCAGGAUAUGGUAAUGUUGGUUCAUGGGGUGGUCAAAAUGCAAAUAGUGGUGGUGGGAAUUCAGCAGCAGCCAUGAUGGGUCAAUCUGCAGGUGUAACUGCUGCUGCUGCUGGAUAUGGGAAUCAAGGUUAUGGUUAUGGUGGUGGCUAUGGUGGAGGAAGUGAUGGGUCUUAUGGUAAUCAAGUAACAGCAGGAUAUGGUGCUGUUGGAGGUCGUCCUGUUCAGAGUGGAAAUGGUUCAGAAAUGCAUGGAAGCUACGGAUAUGGAGAUUUGAAUGGGAAUUCUUCUGGUUAUGGUGGAAACCAAGGAUGGAGAAAUGAUCCUUCUCAAAACUCUGGAAAUUACGGGGCUGAUAAUGGAUAUGGUGGCGGAUAUGGUGGUGUGCCUGCCCAACAAGUUCAACAACAGUAAAGAAACCGAACGGGGUCUUAUUAUGCAUAUCCUUUUUUUAUACAGGGAAGAGGAGAAGCAGAUGAUGGGGACUCGUCGGUCUGACCAUGAUUCAUGAGGAUGAAAGAUGGAUGAUCCAGUUCUGAAAUUGAUACUUUGAGUUUUCGAGAGAUUUGGGGGAGAAAGCAAACCGAGUUGGAUUGAUCGACGACAGAGUACAGACUAAUGUAAGUUGGUUUAGUAUAGAGGUGAAGUUUUGGAUUUCAGAUUCUCAAGAUUCUAGUUUUAGUGAAUGAGCCAUUAGCCAUAGAUAGUAUCAAACUAAGAAGCCUUUUUAGAUAAUAAAAUUGGUUUUAUUUUGGCAACAUUAUUGUUAUACACUUGUACUAAUCUUUUCAUCUUUUUAUCUACUGUAAUUUCAAAUGAAUUAUAAGUUUUUCUUCA